rnacentral:rRNA from 1 species
ACCUCUUCCCAUUCCGAACAGAGAAGUUAAGCCCGUUAGCGCCGAUGGUACUGCAGAAAUGUGGGAGAGUAGGUCGACGCCAACC